GCGGAGGGCCGGAUGGCCGCGUGCCCUCCGGGGUGCGAGGAAAGUCCGGACUCCACAAAGCAACGGUGCCGGGUAACGCCCGGGCGGAGCAAUCCGACGGAAAGCGCCACAGAAAACAGACCGCCCUCGCAUGCGGGGGUAAGGGUGAAACGGUGGGGUAAGAGCCCACCGCGCCGCUGGCAACAGGGGUGGCACGGCAAGCCCCACCGGGAGCAAUGCCAAAUAGGAACCGCGUGGAGGCUUCGGCCUUCGGGGGUGCUUUGUCCCCAGCAGGUUCGGGUUGGCAGCUAGAGGGCCACGGGCAACCGUGGCUUGAGAGGAAUGGUCAUCUAUCGGCGGGGUAACCCGCCGUGGACAGAAUCCGGCUUACAAGCCCUCCGCGCAU
rnacentral:RNase_P_RNA from 2 species